AUCUGCAGAUAAGUAUGGAAUAAACUUCCUAAAUACAGGUGUACCAAGCUUGUAGAGUCAUACCCAAGAAGACUCGAGGCUGUAGUCGCUGCCAAAGGUGCUUCAACAAAGUACUGAGUAAAAGGGUAAAAAAUAAUGGGGUAACAUUUCUAAACAACUGUUUUUGCUUUGUCAUUUUUGGGUAUUGUGUGUAGAUUGAUGAGGGGGAUUUUUAAAAACGUUUUCGAAUAAGACUCAACCGUAACAAAAUGUGGAAAAAGUCAAGGGGUCUGAAUACUUUCCAAAUGUACUGUCUGCACACAUAUAAACACAGUCAAAUGGCCAUCACUCUGAUCCUUCGCUCUCUUAUACAGUCAGCAUAGGUAUAUAGUGUAGAGAAAUAUUGUACAGUUGGGUGAAAAUCAUUUGAUAUCCCACUCCAUUCAUGACCAGCUCUUUCCUCCUGCUAACCUCAAGACACAAAUGGGGCAUGUCAGGUUGAGUUUGCUGCACCAAGGGAAUGCAUACAGGGCUUCAUAGGUGAUGUUUGCGUGCUAGUCUCUCUGCGGUGCUGGGGAGUGUGUCGUGCUUCUCUCUACUCCCAGUCUCUCUUUCUUUCUGCCUGAGGGGAGCAGGCAGCAGUUCUAAAAUAGAGCAGACAUUCAUGUCACAUGACUUUAGCGUUCAAUUUAGACCACACUGUCUGAGCUACUGCACAGAGAUGCUGCCAAGAUGAUCCCCUGCUAUUCCAUUGUCUUAAACCUGUAUGGUAAAUAGAAAGUGCCACAUAUAGGUUGAAAGAUUGCAGGUAAUGUGCUGUGAGAUUUGGUUAAUGGCAUGAAAUACGGAUUGGAAAGGGAAUCAGGUCAGGAUUGCAUUGUAAGGGAUUGGAAAGGGAAUCAGGUCAGGAUUGCAUUGUGAGGGAUUGGAAAGGGAAUCAGGUCAGGAUUGCAUUGUGAGGGAUUGGAAAGGGAAUCAGGUCAGGAUUGCAUUGUAAGGGAUUGGAAAGGGAAUCAGGUCAGGAUUGCAUUGUAAGGGAUUGGAAAGGGAAUCAGGUCAGGAUUGCAUUGUAAGGGAUUGGAAAGGGAAUCAGGUCAGGAUUGCAUUGUAAGGGAUUGGAAAGGGAAUAAUAAUAAUAAUAAUAUAUGCCAUUUAGCAGACGCUUUUAUCCAAAGCGACUUACAGUCAUGUGUGCAUACAUUCUACGUAUGGGUGGUCCCGGGGAUUGAACCCACUACCCUGGCGUUACAAGCGCCAUGCUCUACCAACUGAGCUACAGAGGACCAAUCAGGUCAGGAUUGCAUUGUAAGGGAUUGGAAAGGGAAUCAGGUCAGGAUUGCAUUGUAAGGGAUUGAACAUUGAGCAAUGGGAUUUGGAUUUGACAUUUAGAACAUGUGGGGGGGGGGGGGGGGGUCUUUGACUCAGUGGAUCAUGACAUGGACAGAAUUCUGUGGAAAGUGUAGACAUCAUAGGUGGUUACUCUCUCAAAGAUAUUGCUAAAUUCCCAAGACAUGGAUUGGCUAAUAUAUUUCUAGAUGUGUGAAUAAACUAAUGUAGGGCUGAUGUGUGCAUAACUGUGUUUUAAAGUCCAAAUGUUAUUCAUUUUGUAUAAAUACACAAAUACUGUUGUCAGA